UAGGGAAUCUUCGGCAAUGGGGGGAACCCUGACCGAGCAACGCCGCGUGAGUGAAGAAGGUUUUCGGAUCGUAAAGCUCUGCUGUUAAGGAAGAACGAGUGUGAGAAUGGAAAGUUCAUGCUGUGACGGUACUUAACCAGAAAGGGACGGCUAACUACGUGCCAGCAGCCGCGGUAAUACGUAGGUCCCGAGCGUUGUCCGGAUUUAUUGGGCGUAAAGCGAGCGCAGGCGGUCAAUUAAGUCUGAUGUGAAAGCCCCCGGCUCAACCGGGGAGGGUCAUUGGAAACUGGUUGACUUGAGUGCAGAAGAGGAGAGUGGAAUUCCAUGUGUAGCGGUGAAAUGCGUAGAUAUAUGGAGGAACACCAGUGGCGAAGGCGACUCUCUGGUCUGUAACUGACGCUGAGGCUCGAAAGCGUGGGUAGCAAACAGG
rnacentral:rRNA from 1 species